AUGGCUCCGUGUUCCGUGGCGGCGGCCUGCCGCAGCCUGGCCCUCUCGACGUGGCUGCUGUCCUUUUGCUUCGUCCACCUGCUGUGCCUCGAUUUUACCGUGGCCGAGCGGGAGGAAUGGUACACGGCUUUCGUCAACAUCAGCUACGUGGAGCCCGCCACCAAGACGCUGCGCAUCGACAAGUCCGAAUGCGGGCGUUACGGGGAACACUCGCCCAAGCGGGACGCCAAGGGGGUAGUAGUCCUGCCUGCCGCUCCGCACGAUCGCCAGGCCUGCGACCCCUCCACCCCGUUUGUGGUGCCAGCCCAAGCCGGUGCGUGGGUGGCUCUGAUCGCCCGCGGCAACUGCACUUACAGGGACAAAAUCCGGCACGCCGCCGAGCGCAACGCCUCGGCCGUGGUCAUUUUCAACGUGGGCUCGUCCAACGCCAACGACACCAUCACCAUGCCUCAUCCGGGCACAGGCGACGUGGUGGCCAUCAUGAUUCCGGAGCCCAAAGGUCGUGAGGUGGUGUCGCUGCUGGAGCGCAACGUGACCGUCACCAUGACUAUCACCAUCGGGACCAGGAACCUGCAGAAGUAUGUGAGCCGCACCUCGGUGGUCUUUGUGUCCAUCUCCUUCAUCGUGCUGAUGAUCAUCUCGCUGGCCUGGCUCGUCUUCUACUACAUCCAGAGGUUCCGAUACGCCAACGCGCGAGACCGCAAUCAGCGCCGCCUCGGUGACGCAGCCAAGAAGGCCAUCAGCAAGUUGCAGGUGCGCACCAUCAGGAAAGGCGACCAAGAGAUAGAGGCCGACUUUGAUAACUGCGCCGUGUGCAUCGAAGGCUACAAGGCCAACGAUGUGGUCCGUAUCUUGCCGUGCAGACAUUUGUUCCACAAGAGCUGCGUGGACCCGUGGCUCCUGGACCAUCGCACGUGUCCAAUGUGCAAGAUGAACAUCCUGAAAGCACUGGGAAUCGCUUUGAACGCAGACUGCCUGGACGACCUGCCGCUGGAUUACGACCUGGUUCCGGGCGGCGGAGCGGGGCCCCUAGCGCUGGAGGCCGUAGUCUCUGGGGCAGCCAGCGAUGGCACGCUAAGUGAGGGAGGCUCUUCUGUGGUUCUGGACCCGGGGGUACGACACAUGGGACUCCCGCAGGACUACCACGACCCGCCAGACACUCUGAGAGACAGUCCUAUGACGGCCACCACCGACACGCACACGGGUCAGCCUGCCUCUCGAUGAGUCACAGAUGCAGUAGAAGUCUAUUCUUUGUGUCUGCAUGGCUGUAUUACGCAGUACUGCCCCCCGGUGGCCAAGGUGAGCUCCAGCCCAUGGUGAGCAGCGUCUCCAUGGCGUCGCUAGUAAUCGCCGUGGAAACAGGUCUGUCAGAUGAGGAGGGAUCCGUUCAAGCAUCACACAUAGGGGAUAAGUCCUGAGAGAAAGCUAAACAAUCCAAAAAAAAAAAAUCAAAACGAGCAAAAUGGAAGGAGAACUUAUUUGCGCUUGGCCUACUCCCAACCGGCACCUCAACCACACCACGUUUUCCCCAAAAACCUGGUUACAGGAUGGAAACAGUUGACUCGUCAGCGUGUAUCCCAAUGGUGCCCGGCGUUCCAAAUCUCCAAAUUUCCUCGGAUUCACGCUGGACUUCCUGAAUCCAAAGAGAACAAAAAGCAUUGAUGAGAAAACGACUGAAAGCAAAUCCCACUCCAGUCACGAGGUCGCCAAUUUUACAUCUUGCUGAUGAACGACUGCUCGGGACUUGACAUGAAAAGAUCCAAGGAUUACGUCCUGUCAGGUUAAAACUUAAUGGAAAAGGAAGUCAUAGAGAAGAGAGAGACUGGUUGUCAUUGACUUGCCGUCAAUGUUGCAACUCAGCAAGUUUGCCCAACUCACUUGAAAUUUAGCAGUUAUUUGACUAACUUUUUUUUUUGUCAGAGAAACUUGGGACUUGCACAUGUGACUCCUCCCACUUGUGAUUGUCUGCAUCAUCUACCUUUUGUGGAAUGUUCCAGGACCUGGUCCCGCUCACUUCUCGUCCUACUCCGCAAUCUCGCCCAACGAGGUCACUGGGUGAACAUUUGUGUUGACCUUGCUCGUGUGUGCGAUUGUAGUGUUGCUUCUCCUUCCGUCCCAAAUAAGAUGGCAAGAAAUGUUGGUACGGCGAGCAAGCAACAUUUCUUCCUUAGUCCCAUCGCCGACAAUCAAUUUUUUAACAUUUUUCUCUUUCACUGUUCCCGCCGACACUAUGGGGAGAAGACAGAGAGGUGGCGCGUAACGACGAGCGCUCCAGAUUGUCAUCUAUUUUGCUAUCAGACGAGAUGUUUAUUUUUGUAAUGCCAGGAAGAUGAAAUCGACACCGCUCCCGCCCCACCCCUUCUGCUGGCGGUGUCUUGUACAUAAAGAACGGCGCCAAGUGACGGACAUCCUAAAGGUCAACAUUUUUUCCCGUGUUGAAACAUGAACUUGCACAGCUUGGAUCCAAAACAAAACUGGUGUGAAUUUUGUUUUGUGGCACGUCACGCAAUAUUUUCAGGCCAAGUUUUCUGCCAAAAUGCAUCAAGCAAGAAUCCCAGUAGCGGUUUUGCUUUUUGUUAAAUGGAUUUUUGGCACCAUCGGGUUUGUGAAGCGCCAAGAACGCUGUUUGUAUACGAGAGCAUUUCAAGUCUGACAUUUUACACUCUCUCAGUGCGUUAUUAUAAAAAUUUCACAGGCUGCAAAUUUCUUUCAAGCUUGCUGGCAAAUGCAAAGGAUUUUGUGUUGUUGUGGUCAAAGCUUACCUUGCUCCCCGUUUAUCUGAGCACUUGACCCCGGUGCCGAGCUUGUUCUCUGUAAUAUGUGACGACGACAACUCAUCGUCAUGGCUGCUUUUUCUUUAGUGAAUGCUGUUCAAAUUAAACUUCUCUGUUGUGUUGUA